UACGAGGGGGGCAAGCGUUGUUCGGAAUUAUUGGGCGUAAAGGGCGCGUAGGCGGCCUCCGCAAGUCAGUUGUGAAAUCUCCGAGCUUAACUCGGAAAGGUCAACUGAUACUGCGGGGCUAGAGUGCGGAAGGGGCAACUGGAAUUCUUGGUGUAGCGGUGAAAUGCGUAGAUAUCAAGAGGAACACCUGCGGCGAAGGCGGGUUGCUGGGCCGACACUGACGCUGAGGCGCGAAAGCUAGGGGAGCGAACGGG
rnacentral:rRNA from 1 species